CGGAGCCACUGCUAUCAGGGUUCGCCUAAGCCAUGCAAGUCGAGAGGGGUAAGCCCUCGGCACACGGCUCAGUAACAUGCGGUCAAUCUGCCCUAAGGUGGGGGAUAACCUCGGGAAACUGAGGAUAAUACCCCAUAGGUCAAGGGUACUGGAAUGUCCUUUGGCCAAAAGACUUGUCGCCUUAGGAUGAGACUGCAGCCUAUCAGGUAGAUAGUGAGGUAACGGCUCACCAUGCCUACGACGGGUACGGGUUCUGAGAGGAAUAGCCCGGAGUUGGGGACUGAGACAAGACCCCAGGCCCUACGGGGCGCAGCAGGCGCGAAACCUUCACAAUCCUCGAAAGAGGGAUGAGGGGACCCUGAGUGCCUGUCUUCUAGGCAGGCUUUUCCUGAGUCUAAAAAGCUCGGGGAAUAAGGGCUGGGCAAGACCGGUGCCAGCAGCCGCGGUAAUCCCGGCAGCCCGAGUGGUGGCCACUGUUACUGGGCUUGAAGCGUCAGUAGCUGGACUGUUCCGUCUCUGGUUAAAUCCCAGGGCUUGACUCUGGGACUGCUGGAGAUACCAACAGUCUUGGGACCGGGAGGGGAUGGGAGUAUUUGACGGGUAGGGGUAAAAUCCGUUAAUCCGUCAAAGACUACCGGUAGCGAAGGCGCCCAUCUGGAACGGGUCCGACGGUGAGUGACGAGAGCCAGGGGAGCAAAAGGGAUUAGAUACCCCUGUAGUCCUGGCUGUAAACAAUGCGGACUGGGUGCAGCGUACCCUUCGUGGAGUACGCGGUGCCGAAGGGAAACCGUUAAGUCCGCCGCCUGGGGAGUACGGCCGCAAGGUUGAAACUUAAAGGAAUUGGCGGGGGGGCACCACAAGGGGUGAAGCGUGCGGUUCAAUU
rnacentral:rRNA from 1 species